rnacentral:misc_RNA from 1 species
CGAACUGCGAUAAGUGAUGUGAAUUGCAGACGUACACGAAUCAUCGAACCCUUGAACGCAUUCUGCGCCUCGAAGCUUGUCUUCGAGGCAUAUCUGGGUGAGUGUCGGUUUAACCUCUUGCAUUUAAUGUCUUUACAGGUAAUGCUAGUGAUGAUAGUAAAUUACUAGUUUAAGCUAGUUAUUUUCUAUUUAAAUAAAUCGGCACUCCGAUUAGAUUUUUCGGAUAACAACAAUCCUACUUCAGGUGGUUUGAAGUAACUCGUUUACUACUUAUCUCCAAUAUGAAUUAGUGAUUUGUUUUAAUUCAAAGAUCAUAUAGUCGAGGUGUAUCUUCGUUGAGAAGAAGCUUUUUUUGAAUUCAAAAGAAGCGUAACCUUCGACCUCACCCAGGUAAGACUACCCGCUGAAUUUAAGC